rnacentral:rRNA from 1 species
GAACGCUGGCGGCAGGCCUAACACAUGCAAGUCGAGCGGAUGAAGGGAGCUUGCUCCUGGAUUCAGCAGCGGACGGGUGAGUAAUGCCUAGGAAUCUGCCUGGUAGUGGGGGAUAACGUCCGGAAACGGGCGCUAAUACCGCAUACGUCCUGAGGGAGAAAGUGGGGGAUCUUCGGACCUCACGCUAUCAGAUGAGCCUAGGUCGGAUUAGCUAGUUGGUGGGGUAAAGGCCUACCAAGGCGACGAUCCGUAACUGGUCUGAGAGGAUGAUCAGUCACACUGGAACUGAGACACGGUCCAGACUCCUACGGGAGGCAGCAGUGGGGAAUAUUGGACAAUGGGCGAAAGCCUGAUCCAGCCAUGCCGCGUGUGUGAAGAAGGUCUUCGGAUUGUAAAGCACUUUAAGUUGGGAGGAAGGGCAGUAAGUUAAUACCUUGCUGUUUUGACGUUACCAACAGAAUAAGCACCGGCUAACUUCGUG